rnacentral:rRNA from 1 species
UUGAGCGGAGAUUAUGGAGCUUGCUUUAUAUAACUUAGCAGCGAACGGGUGAGUAACACGUAGAUAAUCUAUCCUAUACUGGGGGAUAGCCCGAUGAAAGUUGGAUUAAUACCGCAUAUAGCUAUAUAGUUGCAUGAUUAUGUAGUGAAAGAUUUAUUGGUAUAGGAGGAGUCUGCGGCACAUUAGCUAGUAGGUGAGGUAAAGGCUUACCUAGGCGACGAUGUGUAGCCGGUCUGAGAGGAUGAACGGCCACAAUGGAACUGAGACACGGUCCAUACUCCUACGGGAGGCAGCAGUGGGGAAUAUUGCACAAUGGGGGAAACCCUGAUGCAGCAACGCCGCGUGAGUGAAGAAGGUUUUCGGAUUGUAAAGCUCUGUUAGCAGGGAAGAGGAAGGACGGUACCUGCAGAGGAAGCCACGGCUAACUACGUGCCAGCAGCCGCGGUAAUACGUAGGUGGCAAGCGUUGUUCGGAAUAACUGGGCGUAAAGGAUGCGUAGGCGGUUAAACAAGUUAUAUGUUAAAUAUAUAGGCUUAACCUGUAGAAAGCAUAUAAAACUGUUUAACUAGAGUGCAGGAGAGGUAAGUGGAAUUCCUAGUGUAGCGGUGAAAUGCGUAGAGAUUAGGAAGAACACCAGUGGCGAAGGCGACUUACUGGACUGUAACUGACGCUGAGGCAUGAGAGCAUGGGGAGCAAACAGGAUUAGAUACCCUGGUAGUCCAUGCUGUAAACGAUGGGUACUAGGUGUGGGUUGUGAAUAACAAUUCGUGCCG